rnacentral:rRNA from 1 species
GACGAACCGAGCGAACGUUGUUCGGAAUCACUGGGCUUAAAGGGCGCGUAGGCGGGCAUUCAAGUCUGUGGUGAAAUCCGGGAGCUUAACUGUCGAAUUGCCAUGGAUACUGGGUGUCUCGAGGGAGGCAGGGGUGCGCGGAACUAAUGGUGGAGCGGUGAAAUGCGUUGAUAUCAUUAGGAACUCCGGUGGCGAAGGCGGCGCACUGGUCCUUUUCUGACGCUGAGGCGCGAAAGCCAGGGGAGCAAACGGG